UAGGAAAACUCUUAUACAAGAUGUCGAUGAUGAUCAACAAUUAGAUUUACAACCGUCUUCUGACAUGGAUACAAAACCAUUUGGACAAUUGUAUGCGUACAAAUCUAAAAGACAAGCAAUCAAUAUCAUUGAAGUUGUGAUUUCUAAACUACCAAGAGAAUUUAUUGUCACCAACAGGACAUGACAACAAAAAGCUAAUGAUUUUGUGAUGGUUGAUGAAGAGCUUAAAUCUAUCAUUUUUAC